rnacentral:rRNA from 1 species
GGCGAGUGAAGCGGCAAAAGCUCAAAUUUGAAAUCUAGCACCUUCGGUGUUCGAGUUGUAAUUUGAAGAUGGUAACCUUGGGUUUGGCUCUUGUCUAUGUUCCUUGGAACAGGACGUCAUAGAGGGUGAGAAUCCCGUCUGAUGAGAUGCCCAUUCCUAUGUAAGGUGCUAUCGAAGAGUCGAGUUGUUUGGGAAUGCAGCUCUAAGUGGGUGGUAAAUUCCAUCUAAAGCUAAAUAUUGGCGAGAGACCGAUAGCGAACAAGUACAGUGAUGGAAAGAUGAAAAGAACUUUGAAAAGAGAGUGAAAAAGUACGUGAAAUUGUUGAAAGGGAAGGGCAUUAGAUCAGACUUGGUGUUUUACGAUUAUCUUCUCUUCUUGAGUUGUGCACUCGUAUUUCACUGGGCCAGCAUCGAUUCGGAUGGCAAGAUAAUGGCAGUUGAAUGUGGCUUCACUUCGGUGGAGUGUUAUAGCUUCUGCUGAUAUUGCCUGUCUGGAUCGAGGGCUGCGUCUUUUGACUAGGA